GACGAACGCUGGCGGCGUGCUUAACACAUGCAAGUCGAACGGUGACGGAGGAGCUUGCUCUUCCUGAUCAGUGGCGAACGGGUGAGUAACACGUGGGCAACCAGCCCCUGCCUUUGGGAUAACGCUUCGAAAGAGCUGCUAAUACCGGAUACGCGCUCCCUUUGCAUCUGGGGUGCUGGAAAGUUUUUCGGUCAGGGAUGGGCCCGCGGCCUAUCAGCUUGUUGGCGAGGUAAUGGCUCACCAAGGCGACGACGGGUAGCCGGCCUGAGAGGGCGACCGGCCAAACUGGGACUGAGACACGGCCCAGACUCCUACGGGAGGCAGCAGUGGGGAAUAUUGCGCAAUGGGCGGAAGCCUGACGCAGCAACGCCGCGUGAGGGAUGACGGCCUUCGGGUUGUAAACCUCUUUCAGCAGGGAAGAAGCGCAAGUGACGGUACCUGCAGAAGAAGCACCGGCUAACUACGUGCCAGCCGCCGCGGUAA
rnacentral:rRNA from 1 species